GGCGGUGAACGUCUGGUGCGUGUGUGCGUGUUGUGGACUUGGCUUUGGAAACUGAAACGGUGAGGCCUUCAUGUUCUGGAUCCUGGGAAACGCGGGUGGGCAUCAUAAACGACUAUGCACCAAGGACAUCGGGCGGGCGCAGGUGGUAUACGUGGCCGCUGGCAAACUGCCUCUAAAGCCGCGAUGACUCGACCCACCGAUCCACUGUGUUCCAGGUGCGAUGACGCCGUGUAUCUUCGGUGCGAGGACUAAGCAGUGCCGCCGUCUCCGCAUCAAGCGAAAACUUACUACCCCGUGCCUUUGGCUUGUUUUCAUGCCGUUACCAACUUGCGCCGAAAGCCUUCGACGUGCCAAACAAAUGCGUUCGUGUGGCAUGCACCUGAUUCGACUCGAUGACGCCACCUGGGAACCGAUAAAGGAAGUUAGCAAGCCUUGUCCUAACGGUAGCGCCUAACAACUUUUUUUUUCCGCCAGCGAACAAGCUCGAAGCUCUCGUCGGUACACGUUUUCGAAAACGGCGACUCGCGGGCAACUCGACGACCGGAUUACUCGUAGACGAGUUUGUGACUGGUAGACGUAACGCUGUCUUUCUCUCUUCUUGCUGCACUUGGUGUAUUUCUUUUUUUAUUUUCAGAGUUGCUAUGAUAUGCAAAUGAGAAAGGCAGUUGAACCUGUCCCCGAACAUCUGCGCAUGAUACGACGUAUAAGGAACGCACAGGGUUAUAUACACGGAAGUUCGCACGUAGAGGUUAUCUGGCUUCUCCGAUAAACCUGGCGGAGGAGGAGCAACCGGCGAGCGAGUCGAGAAAAGCAACGCUCCUACAUCGCCACGUAGUGAACCGGAAAUUCAAGACGAAGGUUGCUAGACCGAAAGCUCCCUUCCGUCUCCCCUGUUUUCUUAUUCAUCAAGGCGAUGUCUCUGAAUCGCUGUGAAUUGUGAUUCGGCGCGACUGUUUCUCUCUCUCUCUGCUCCAAAUGGUUUUGUUGCCGUUGCUGUUGUUGUUGUGGUGGUGCUACCCUUGAAAACAGUUUGUGGUUGUGGUGCGUGUUUGCUUGGAGUGUGCCUUCGCUGCGUUGGUCCGGUAGAUAUUCUUCGCCUUCAUGACCGGCGGUGGAUGUACUGCUACCGUAUCGGUGAUGUACAUCUAAGGCGCGUGAAUCUCCUGUGUUAUGGGAGUGGCAGCUCGUGACGGCUCCAACGAAGGUCAUUCUUUCACGAAGGGAGUUCGGUGCCUCGCCUGGAAGCGGACCUGGUUGUCGGCUUGCAGUGAAAAUUCGCACUCCUGCGUGGAGCUCAAAGAGUGCACCUGAGUGUCCUAGCUACUAGCGUGCUGUGGUGGUAAGUGCCGUGAGUUGGGAAAAAAAAAA